CAAUAGCGUAUAUUAAAGUUGUUGCAGUUAAAAGCUCGUAGUUGGAUUUCUGGUUGGAGCGACCGGUCGGGCAUUGAUUUGUCUGCACUGGAGUCGGUUCUGGCCAUCCUCUUGGAAAGUGCGUCUGUCAUUAAGUUGUCGGGCGUAUGAUCCAGGUCUUUUACUGUGAAAAAUUAGAGUGUUUAAAGCAGGCCUUCGCCUUGAAUACAUUAGCAUGGAAUAAUAAGAUAGGACUUUGGUCAUUUUGUUGGUUUUGCAGACCGAAGUAAUGAUUAAUAGGGAUAGGUUGGGGGUAUUAUAUUCCAAUGUCAGAGGUGAAAUUCUAGUAUUUUUGGAAGAUAAACUUAUGCGAAAGCAUUUAACCAAGGAUUGUUUUCAAUUAAUCAAGAACGAAAGUUAGGGGAUCGAAGACGAUCAGAUACCAU
rnacentral:rRNA from 1 species